rnacentral:lncRNA from 1 species
CCAGAGUGAAAGCAUGAGGUCCUUGUUCACAUGAAUUCCUCUGAAUGCUGGGGAAGUGAGCACCCUUUCACAGCGGUUCUGAAUUUCUUCUUUGUGCCAAAUCUCAGAUCCUGCCCCCAAACCAAUCUUCUUGUGCAUCUGUGUCCUUCGUUUUGCUCCCCAGGAAGCCUGGAGCACAGGGUGAUAGGACUAGUUCCAUCUAGAGUGCUAUUGACCGGAGCCCCAGGACUCAGGUUCAAGGGCGAUGCAGCAACAGGCUGGGUGAUUCUCCCAGCAGCUCUGGGAGGGAGAGGCCAAAGCAGAUUAUUUUUGCUGCGUGUGAAUCAUCUGAGGAGUGAGAAUAGCAGACCAGGCAAGACAUGUCCAUAAAAGGCAUUUCCCGAGCACCCUCUGUGCAUGUGUUUGGUUUGCUGUGGCUGUGCCGGGCAUCUCCUAUGCCAGGAAUUUGACCUUCUGGACCUUCAUUGCACACCUAGCACGUGCUGGGUGUUCAGUGACUAAGGCCCCAUCUCUGUCUUUUUUUUUUUUUUUUUCGGGCUGCACCAUAUGGGAUCCACACCCCCAGGCUUGGAAGCGUGGAGUCUUAACCACUGAACUGUGGGGGAAGUCCCUCGUCUCUGUCUUCAAGAAGUGUUGUCUUUGGUUUGGCGAAAACAUCUGUGGACCACCACAUUCCUGCAAGGUGGACUGUGAUAAAGAAGUCCUGAGCCGCUGAUCAAGUUGACAGGCACACCUCAUGAACUUGGACUGUCCCUGCCCUUUCUCUCCUGCCCAGCAAGAUGAUCAUUCAUUCACUGUUUAACACUGGGAUGUCUUGAGAGUAAACGAGACCGAGAAUGUGCCAGCCCUGGAUGUGCUGGUAGCUCUUAACAUUUUAGGGUCAGAGAUCCCUUUAAAGAGCUGAUGAAAGCUUUGGACUUUCACCUCAGAAAAAUUGCUCUGGGGCGCACACCCGUGUGACUCUGCAGACAAUUUCAAUUUCAUGGUUUUUAUGGACAUCCUGAAACCCAUCCAUGGACCCCCGAGGGGCUGGAGGGUAAUAACACCUGUUUUAGAGCUUAUCUCAUGCAGGGUGUUUUUAAAAUCCCAGAUGGUAAUUCAUAUUACUGUUAUUAAGAAUACUGUUUCUCAGUUAUUUCUAUGUCAGAAUCCUUUCUCAUUAAUAGUAUCAUUUUCCAAAGGUUCCUUGUGAUGUGGUAUUAUUUAGAUUCUUGAGCCUCAAGAAUAAAGCAAAAGCAGGAUAAUCUGAUAAACUAAAUUUUUUUUUGUCCUGGUAUACAUGUAUAAAAUAAAGUAAACAGUGACCU